CACGGCUUGCCAGGCGCGCCAAGCUGCGCCGUACAGGUCCCGCGGCCAUGCCCAAGCGGGGCUGCCCCUUCGCGGACGCGGCCCCGCUGCAGUUGAAGGUUCGCGUGGGACGGAGGGAACUGAGCCGCGGCGUGUGCGCCGAGCGCUACACGAGGGAGAUCUUCGAGAAGACCAAGCAGCUCCUAUUUCAAGGAGCUCAGGCCUACAUGGACCACUUGUGGGAGGAAGGCUGUGCCAUUGUCGACCUGCCAGAGUCCCCGAAGCCCGGUCCCACAGAGGCCACUCGGGCCGCACGUGGUCAGAUGCUGAUCGGACCAGACGGCCGGCUUAUCAGGAGCGAAGCCCAGGCCUCAGAAGCUGACCCAUCUGGGGCGGCAUCCAGAGCCUGCUCCUCGUGCGUGCGAGCCGUGGACGGGAAGGCGGUGUGCGGCCAGUGUGAGCGCGCCCUGUGUGGGCGGUGUGUGCGCAUCUGCUGCGGCUGUGGGGCUGUGACCUGCACCCCGUGUGCCCUCGUGGAACUAGCCACCCCUCCUUGGCUUCUGUACCGAGUUGCCAGUUUCCUGUCCUGUGAGGACCCCUCCUCGUGAAUUUUCCCUGCAAGUCACUGAACUUCCUUGGCUUUACCCGUCUGGUGGGCUUCUGACGGGAGCCGCUGUGGUCUGCUGUGGUGACGUCCACGAGAAGGUGCUCUGCGCCAGCUGCGCCAUGUUCGAGGCCUGAGGCCGUGAGUGGAUGGCAGCCUUGCCCAGACGGUGGCCCGGCGUGGGCACUGAGGAGCCGGGGAACAGCGUCGGGUGGGGGGGGUUCUGUUUUAUAUUUUGUACUCCUGAUGCCAGAGGUAAAUAAAGCUCUUUAUAUUUGGA